GUUUCAGACGAACCCUACUGGGGUUGAAGC
rnacentral:other from 1 species